UGGCUCCGUGCUGCUAUUGGCUGCUGACUUGGCGCAGGCGCUAUGGCCCCUGCGUUAGCCUUCCCAGUUGCAGAGGCAGGGGUUUGGCUCCUGGAGACCAUAGGUUCGAAUCCCGUCUGGGAACAUCAGUUUGCGCACCUGUAAAGAGGCUGGCAUUAUAGGCUGGCACAGAAUGUGUCGGGUACUCGACUUCAAAGUCAUAGAGAUUCCUCUUGGAGAUGCCGAGGGCAGGGCAGGAGAGCUUGGCCAGACGGCACAGGUCCUGUAGCUGAUUCCAAGACGACUUGCAACACACACUGCAGCCUAGAACAAGGAGGCCAGAAAGAACUUACUGGGUAUCCUGCUGAAGGCACCGAUCAAAGGGGACCCCAAAUCCUUUCUGGGAUUCCAAAGAACUGCCUCAGAGUCAGUGAGAUUUAAUCCACAGGCUUUCUCCAUGCUGAGACCCUUCUACAUCAAAAAUGUGCCACUUCCUUCAGCCCCAGUGCUCAUUCCAAGGCCACCCUCCCCCCCAGCUGUGGCCCUCAAAGUGGGAUCUGCUGCAGGAAUUGUCCUAAAGGAAUCUAUUCCUAGAGCUUCCAACUCCCUCCAUACUAUUCCUAAAACUGCCUGCAAACCUGCAGUUGGGUUCAGGACCUAAUCAUCCCUCUCCCCACUUUGCAAAAUAAAGAGAACAACCCCCCCA